rnacentral:tRNA from 1 species
GAGAGUAUAGCUUAGUGGCAGAGUGCGUGCUUAGUAUGCACAAGGUCCUAGGUUCAAUCUCCACUACCUUCA